rnacentral:lncRNA from 1 species
CUAUUCUAAAUAUAUGAGAAGCAUAAUUAAACUUUGUCAUAAUAAUGAAUAUGGACUUGAAAAAUAUUAGUUUUGAGGUUUUCUUUAAUGACUGAUUCCUAUCAAUUGUGUGGAGAAACAAAGAUUUGAAAAAGAAUAUCAUUUUCCCUAAUGAUGUCUUCAUGUCUAAUAUCCAUGAACAGAUAGGAUCUUUGAUGCUUUACUUAUCUUUGCAUAUUUUAGUAUAGUUCAGAUCCUAAAGACUUUAUUUUUUGAGACAGAGUCUCACUGUGUUGCCUAGGCUGGAGUGCAGUGGCGUGAUCUCAGCUUACUGCAACCUCCACCUCCUGGGUUCAAGCGAUUCUCCUGCCUCAGCCUCCUGAGUAGCUUGGACUACAGGUGUUCAUCCAUCAUGCCUGGCUAACUUUUGUAAUUUUAAUAGACACAGUGUUUCACCAUAUUGAUCAGGCCGGUCUUGAACUCCUGACCUUGUGAUCCGCCCACCUUGGCCUCCCAAAGUGCUGGAAUUACAGGCAUGAGCCACCGCGCCCAGCCCCUGAAGACUUUUUAAGGGCCCUUUCCAUUAACUUCAGUUUUCCAUCAUAUAACAAUAGCAACAAACAAUGAAAACAGCGAUAGUAGUCACAGUCAUAUUGUGCUACAAUGUACAAAUUCAGUUCAAUUUUCAUAUAUGACCUUAUCUGAUUCCCCUAAUAAUCCUGUCAGCAUGUGCAGUUAUACCCACUUUACAGGUGAUAACUCAGAGAGAUUUCAUGAGGUGGUGAAAGUUGAAGGGGCAUUAUCAGUGAUGGCUCCUGAACUCUAUUCCAGGUCCUUGACUCCAUUUUCAGGUCUCUUCCUGUGAGCUCUGUGUAAUAAAGCUUUGUGUCGCAGAUAUAUAUGUACUUGAUUGCCCCCUUACUAGUUGUUAAUGAAACACCUUCAUGUCUAGACCUAUGUCUUACUCACUGAGUAAGCCUAUACUUGUGUGCUGACUUGUCUUCUUUGCACAGUGAAAUUAAAUGAUACUUUCUUUUAAAACUUAAUUAAGAUGCUUUUGUAGUUCGUAAGCAUGAUGAUUGGGUUUUCUUGCUCUUGUAUGAGAUGUGCCUCCGUCAUACCUUGGAAACCUGACUUGAAAAAAAAAACUUAAUUAUGGAAGGAAAGUUAAUGGUUUAUCAUGUAGCUGGCAAUGAACAUGUUAAAUUGUACUGAAAAUGUUUUACACAUUCUAGAUGUUUGUUCUUUAAUUUGGUCUUUAAUUCUUCUUGAUAAUACCUUAUUUACGGACCACCUUACUUAAAAUAUCCCCUAAAGUCAUUCUUAUUCUCACCAUGUUGUUUUCUUUAUAGAUCAUUUAAGACUGCUAGAAAUUAUUUGCUUUUUGUUUAUUGCUUACUUCCCAUCAUCUCCACUAGAAUGUUAGCUUUAUUAAAGUUGUUUCCGUUUUAUUCAGAGCUAUGGAUCUCCAAUGCCUAGCUAGAAUAUUGCCUGCUAUUGUUGUUCAAUAAAUAUCUACUGAAUGAAUGAAUGAAUAUCAGUUGCUUUUAAUUAUAAAUUUCCAUCUUAUUAUACAUUUAAAAAAAUUUGCUGUACGAGGUACUCAUUUGUGACCUUUGUUUUGUUGGUGAAUGCUGAAUUGACUCAUGUGGUUUGUAUGCAUGAACUAUUGAGUGAUGAUGUAAGCUUGGCAAACAGAAAUAAAUAUGUUUUUUUUAAAUUCAGGAGAUUACAAAAGUGUAACAAUACCCACUUUAGAAGGGUAUAAUUAAAUCUGUGAUUGUUUAAAAAGAAUCAUAAAUUUCUUCUAAGC